CCUACGGGAGGCAGCAGUGAGGAAUAUUGGUCAAUGGUCGGGAGACUGAACCAGCCAAGCCGCGUGAGGGAUGAAGGUACAGAGUAUCGUAAACCUCUUUUGUCAGGGAACAAAGGCGGGGACGUGUCCCCGGCUGAGUGUACCUUAAGAAAAAGCAUCGGCUAACUCCGUGCCAGCAGCCGCGGUAAUACGGAGGAUGCGAGCGUUAUCCGGUUUUAUUGGGUUUAAAGGGUGCGCAGGCGGUCUGUUAAGUCAGCGGUCAAAGCCCGGGGCUCAACCCCGGCCCGCCGUUGAAACUGGCAGUCUCGAGUUGGAGAGAAGUAUGCGGAAUGCGCGGUGUAGCGGUGAAAUGCAUAGAUAUCGCGCAGAACUCCGAUUGCGAAGGCAGCAUGCCGGCUCCACACUGACGCUGAGGCACGAAAGCGUGGGUAUCGAACAGGAUUAGAUACCCGAGUAGUC
rnacentral:rRNA from 1 species